rnacentral:tRNA from 1 species
GGCGAGAUGUCCGAGUGGUCUAAGGAGUGUGACUCAAGUUCUCAUCAGCGUAUGCUGGCAGGGGUUCGAAUCCCCUUCUCGUCA